UGGGGAAUCUUGCGCAAUGGCCGAAAGGCUGACGCAGCGACGCCGCGUGUGGGAUGACGCCUUUCGGGGUGCAAACCACUGUUGCCCGGGACGAACGACUUCUUUCGAGAAGUGUGACGGUACCGGGUGAGGAAGCACCGGCUAACUCCGUGCCAGCAGCCGCGGUAAUACGGAGGGUGCGAGCGUUGUCCGGAAUCACUGGGCGUAAAGGGCGCGUAGGCGGCUUGGGAAGUCCGUGGUGAAAGCUCGAGGCUCAACUUCGAGUCGGCCAUGGAUACUCCUAAGCUCGAGUCGACUAGAGGCUAAUGGAAUUCCGGGUGUAGCGGUGGAAUGCGUAGAGAUCCGGAAGAACACCGGUGGCGAAGGCGGUUAGCUGGGGUCGAACUGACGCUGAGGCGCGACAGCGUGGGGAGCAAACAG
rnacentral:rRNA from 1 species